GACGAACGCUGGCGGCGUGCUUAACACAUGCAAGUCGAACGGACAGGCCCUGCUUGCGGUGUACUCGCGUUGCGAACGGGUGGGUAACUCGUAGGUGAUCUGCCCUCCUCUUCGGGAUAAACUUGUGCAACUGAGUCUAAUACCUGCUAGGUCCUCACUUUAGUGUGAUGGUUGGAUAGUUUUUUCGGUUUGGGAUGAGCUUGCGGACUAUCAGCUUGUUGGAGGGGUAAUGGCCUACCAAGGCGGCGACGGGGAGCCGGCCUGAGAGGGUGUACGGCCAGACUGGGACUGAGAGACAGGCCACAGUACGAAGGGAGGCAGAAAGGGGGAAAAUUGGACAAAGGGCGCAAGCGUGAGGGAGCGAGGCCGCGGGAGGGAUGAAGGCUGUCGGGAGGUAAAAUCCUAUCGCUAGGGACGAAGGUAUGUUGUGACGGUACCUAGAUAAGAAGCACCGGCUAACUACGUG
rnacentral:rRNA from 1 species